CGCACAUUGCGCCCAUUAGUAUUCUAGUGGGCAUGCCUGUUCGAGCGUCAUUUCAACCCUUAAGCCUAGCUUAGCGUUGGGAGUCUACUGUAAAAGGUAGUUCCCGAAAAACAACGGCGGAUCUACAGUGUCCUCUGAGCGUAGUAAUUCUUUUAUCUCGCUUUUGUCAGGUGCUGUGGCCCUUGCCGCUAAACCCCCAAAUUUUUAAUGGUUGACCUCGGAUCAGGUAGGAAUACCCGCUGAACUUAA
rnacentral:misc_RNA from 1 species